rnacentral:rRNA from 1 species
ACGGGCAUUGCCCAGUAACGGCGAGUGAAGCGGCAAAAGCUCAAUUUUGAAAUCCCCCCGGGGAGUUGUAAUUUGAAGACUAGGGGAUUUGGCCCAAACCUGCGCAAGUCCAUUGGAACAUGGCGCCCAAGAGGGUGAGAGCCCCGUCGCGCAGGCCGCAGCCUUGACAUCCCCCCGUCAAAGAGUCGAGUUGUUUGGGAAUGCAGCUCAAAGUGGGUGGUAAAUUCCAUCUAAAGCUAAAUAUUGGCGAGAGACCGAUAGCGAACAAGUACAGUGAUGGAAAGAUGAAAAGCACUUUGAAAAGAGAGUGAAACAGUACGUGAAAUUGUUGAAAGGGAAGGGCUUGCAAGCAGACACGAGUUCGCUCGGGCCAGCAUCAAUUUCGCGAGGUGGACAACACGCCAGGAAUGUGGCAGGCUCCGGCCUGUGUUAUAGCCUGCGCGCCAUACACCUCCGCGAGAUUGAGGCCUGCUCCAAAAGGAUGCUGGCGUAAUGGUUGCAAGUCGCCCGUCUUGAAAMMACGGACCAAAMAA